UCCCUAAUAGCUCAGUUGGUAAAGAAUCUGCCUGCAAUGCAGGACCCUGGUUCGAUUCCAGGUCAGGAAG
rnacentral:tRNA from 1 species